CUCAACCAAGAAUAUAGAGAAAGAGCUUCUGCCCUGAGACUCAGAAAAAUAUUCUACACUGCUUCUGUUCAGUAUAGAUUUCUAGACCCUGAUCAUUGCUUAACAGAUUUUCACUGGGGGUCCUACGUCUCUGCAAUUUGUGUAUGAAUAACAGAAUAAUUUUCCUCUUUUGUUUCGCCUUUCCUGUUCCUGAAUCUAAAUAAAGAUGGCUUUUUAGUAUUAAAAGUGGAAGAAAAUUACAGGUAAUUAUCUUUGACGGUAAAAACGCUGUAAUCAGCGGGCUACAUGAAAAAUUACUCUAAUUAUGGCUGCAUUUAAGAGAAUGGAAAAAAAAACCUUCUUGUGGAUAAAAACCUUAAAUUGUCCCCAAUGUCUGCUUCAAAUUGGAUGGCACUGCAGCUGGAGGCUUUGUUCAGAAUUGAUCCUGGGGAGCUCUGAACCCAAAGUUUCACAGUAGGAAGGGGGGAAAAAGAAAAGAAAACAUUUUUCUUAAUGUAACAAUACGAAUGGUAGAAAAUGACAAGACUGAUCGGUUUUAAACCAUUCUGAAGACUGACUGAGCGUGGAAGUUGCUCAACAAAAAAAAGGAACGGGUAUAUUGGAUCUCGGUAGAGAGUAAAAAACAAUGCUUAAAAUAAAACUGGAACAGGUAUCCCAGAGGGAUUCAUUAUCUACAAACUCUCUGGAGAAAAAUCUAAGCAGAAACCAGUGGCUGGGACUUUAAAAAAAGUUCUGAUGGACCGUGGAACCUACCGCCUGGCCCGAACUGCACCAGCCCCACUACCUAAUCUCAGCCCACUGGGAUAUUUACUGGGCUAUCUACACAUGAAGGGCCAGAUCCCAAGUCCAUUGAGGUGACAUUGUAAAUAAGAAGCAGGCAGUAUUAUCUCCCAUAAAUGUAAGAAAUUUGCUGAACAAGAAGUAGGACUGACUGGACUUAUGUGGCCUUCAGGAGAACCUCCUACACACCAGUGGAGUGCCUUCACCAGAUAAAGAAGUGACCAAGGAGGAGUAAGGAUGACAUGAGUCAAGAGGUGCUUCAAUCCUCAGAAUGCAGGGUGCAGACUUUAAAAGAAAAUUAUAAAAUAUACAGGCAGGACAGAAAGGAGAGCCAAGACUGAAAUUUAAUGGGUCAGGAGCAGAUUAUAAAAGUGAUGGUGGAGCAAAUGGAGAUGUUGAAGUCCCUAAUCCUGCUGCACACUGAAUUCAUGCAUGGUUCCCCGCCCCCGAAGCCGAUACAGAACUGCUUUCCAUGCCCUCCUGAAAUUCCUCCCAUAUAUUCCUUGCAAUUUCCUGGCCUGUCUAGGUAUUCCAUUCAAUCCAUCCCUUCUGACAGCUCCAAGAUGAUAGCUGGACUCACACAUAGCUAAAAGAGCCUACACUGAUGUUCAUUAUUAUCUCCCUUCCCACCAAGCCUUUUGUGUGUGUUGUUAA